rnacentral:rRNA from 1 species
GAAUAUUGGUCAAUGGACGCAAGUCUGAACCAGCCAUGCCGCGUGAAGGAUGAAGGUCCUCUGGAUUGUAAACUUCUUUUACCUGGGACGAAACCACGUUAUUCUUAGCGUGUUGAUGGUACCAGGGGAAUAAGCACCGGCUAACGCCGUGCCAGCCGCCGCGGUAAUACGGAGGGUGCAAGCGUUAUCCGGAUUCACUGGGUUUAAAGGGUGCGUAGGAGGGCAGGUAAGUCAGUGGUGAAAUCCUGGGGCUUAACUCCAGAACUGCCGUUGAUACUAUCUGUCUUGAAUCCCGUGGAGGUGAGCGGAAUAUGUCAUGUAGCGGUGAAAUGCUUAGAUAUGACAUAGAACACCGAUUGCGAAGGCAGCUCGCUACACGGGUAUUGACUCUGAGGCACGAAAGCGUGGGGAUCAAACAGG